AACAAAAAAUAAAACGCAGAUAGCUGUACAUAGUAAUAUCAUGUAGUACUUUCAGCGCAUGUUGACAUUUAGCAUCACUUCAAACAAUUAACGGAGACAACAACAAAGCCGCCUGAAAAAAUUUUGUUAACAAAAUUCACACUUUGCACAACUACAACUGCAUUCAAAUGAACUCAGCUGUUUACUUAACCAUGCAACCAACGCCUGACUGACUUGCUACAGUGCUGAUGUAACUGAAUCGCAUGAAUCUAUUAAAUCUCGCAUUACAAGUACGCUUACCUUGUCAUCUGAAAGUGGAAUCUGUAGCACAUCUAAUUCCUGAUUGUCGGCAGGUACGGGCACAGCGGAUACGAGCAUUACUGCGGCGCUGCAUAGGCAGGCGGCGAUUGCAAAUAACUGUUGUUGCCUCAUAAUGUGUGCUGAUGUGUUUGUGUGUGUGUGGGUGUAUGUGUGUGGGUAAAUUUGUGCUUUAUUGGCGUUGAUGGUUGACUGCAAUCAGUUAGUCAGCGUAGUAGUCCACGGCCACUGUAUGUGCACUACGAAGCGUUUGCGUUGACU